CACUUUUUUCCGAAUUUUCAUGUUUUUUGUACUAUAACUAUAUUAAAUUUAAUGCCAAUCGGGUUCGCUAUAAUUUUCUUUUAAUCUACUCGCGAAAAUACGCAGGUAUACCAAAUUUGAGGUAUACUAAAUUUGAGCAUCGUAGCUCCAAAACUUUGAAAGUAAAGGGGAGGACAUAGUUUUUUCUGAAGUUUCGAGUUUUUGUAUACUAUAACUAUAUUAAAUUCAAUGCCAAUCGGGUUCGCUAUAACUUUCAAUUAAUCUACUCGCGAAAAUACGUAUUGAGCAUUGUAGCUCCUAAACUCUAACAGUCAAGGGGGGACACACUUUUUUCCGAAUUUUCAUGUUUUUUGUACUAUAACUAUAUUAAAUUUAAUGCCAAUCGGGUUCGCUAUAAUUUUCUUUUAAUCUACUCGCGAAAAUACGCAGGUAUACCAAAUUUGAGGUAUACUAAAUUUGAGCAUCGUAGCUCCAAAACUUUGAAAGUAAAGGGGAGGACAUAGUUUUUUCUGAAGUUUCGAGUUUUUGUAUACUAUAACUAUAUUAAAUUCAAUGCCAAUCGGGUUCGCUAUAACUUUCAAUUAAUCUACUCGCGAAAAUACGUAUUGAGCAUUGUAGCUCCUAAACUCUAACAGUCAAGGGGGGACACACUUUUUUCCGAAUUUUCAUGUUUUUUGUACUAUAACUAUAUUAAAUUUAAUGCCAAUCGGGUUCGCUAUAAUUUUCUUUUAAUCUACUCGCGAAAAUACGCAGGUAUACCAAAUUUGAGGUAUACUAAAUUUGAGCAUCGUAGCUCCAAAACUUUAAAAGUAAAGGGGAGGACAUAGUUUUUUCUGAAGUUUCGAGUUUUUGUAUACUAUAACUAUAUUAAAUUCAAUGCCCAUUGGGUUCGCUAUAACUUUCCUUUAAUCUACUCGCGAAAAUACGUAUUGAGCAUUGUAGCUCCUAAACUCUAAAAGUCAAGGGGGGACACACUUUUUUCCGAAUUUUCAUGUUUUUUGUACUAUAACUAUAUUAAAUUCAAUGCCAAUCGGGUUCGCUAUAACUUUCCUUUAAUCUACUCGCGAAAAUACGUAUGUAUACCAAAUUCGAGCCCAAUCGGUUAAAGCGGCUAGAUUUUAGAGGGGGGUAACAGGAUUUUGUGGACGGCAAUGAGUGAAAGCAUAAGGGUUCCAUUUCGGUUGACUGUUGCAAGUUACUGUGCUGACUGGGUAAAGUAGUGAAUAUCCGCCAUACUUAUAAAAUAUUUCUAUCAAUGUUAAUUUGAUGAAUUUCGUUUGUAUGAAUGUAUUAUAAAUCGCAUGAAAAAUUGAAAAUUAGGGACCGAAUUAGUGCAGAAGACGAAUGAUGCCGUGCUAAACCGAGACUAGAAUACUGUAGAAUGAAUGUAAAAUAUAGUUACUAGUAGAGAUUUGAGUAUAAUAUUAUUUUUCAUUAUUUUUUCAUUUUGCAUCUUAUAUUGUUUUCAUCAAGUGUCAUUUUCAACUAUUACAUAAUGUUACUCUUAUUGUUCCUAUUUAAUAUUUUCUUGUGUUGACUGAGUUUUAAAUUAAUUAUAAGAUGAAUUAUUCCUUAUUUUUCUGAACCUGACCUCACUAUCUGCACUAAUACGGCCCCAUUGUUAUAAUCAAAAUGAUAUUAAUGUAUAUAUAAUAGACGUAAAAUCUUAUAUAGAAGUGCGAAGUCUCAUAACUCAGGGCAGUGAAUCACGAUUACCAGUAUGUACUAUACCCUCAUGCAGGGUUGCCAGAUCGUGCGAUCUGGCAACCCUGCACGGGGAAGGUUUUUGAGAAUGUUUCAGGCUAGAAAACUUUGGCAAAGGGAUAGUCAACACCUUAAAAUAUUUAUUCCCCAGGAUUUUAAAUCGUUUUUUUAUUAUUAUUUGUUUUAGCGACUAAAUUAUGUCAGACUACGCAAAAGAUAAGUAUCAUUCAAUAGAAUGUAUAUAAUUGUUGAAAACUAUUAUGUAAUUGAAUUCAAAUUACCUUUUUUAAUUGCAGUAAGAAAAAACGUUUAAUACGAAAUAAGUAUUUAUUAAACCGGUAGCAGAAAGGCAUAUUUAUCCACAGGAAGACUUGUCGCAACUAUUGUAAAAAUUUAAAUCCAAGGACUUGAUGUAAAAUAAAUUGACAGUGGAGUUUGGCAAUUUGCUGGAAAGCAUAAAAAUGUUUACAGCUUAUUCAAAUAUUGCGUAAGAGUAUAGGUCAUACAAAUGACGGGCACUCUUGAUGUGAUGAAAAGAAGCCCUUUCUUCGGAAUUCCACUGCCAACCUUGCAAGUUUCUUCGGAAAAUCGGUACCAUGAAAAGAAAAGAAAACCCAAAAGCUAUUUUUCUCUAUUAAAGAAAUUUAUGAAUUAUAUAUUGUAGUAUUAGACAUAUUUGUAUAAUUUAUUUUUAUUCAUUAUAUAUUAUUAUUUACUGUUUUAACAAA